AUGCUUAACACAUGCAAGUCGAUUCGAUUUACCUUCGGGUAUUGAGGAUGGCGGACGGGUGAGUAACGCGUAAGGAACUUGCCUCUUGGUCUGGGACAACUGUUGGAAACGACAGCUAAUACCGGAUAUUAUGAGAUUCUCGCAUGGGAAACUUAUGAAAGCUAUAUGCGCCAAGAGAGAGCCUUGCGUUCCAUUAGCUAGUUGGUGGGGUAACGGCCCACCAAGGCGACGAUGGAUAGCCGGCCUGAGAGGGUGAACGGCCACAAGGGGACUGAGACACGGCCCUUACUCCUACGGGAGGCAGCAGUGGGGAAUAUUGGACAAUGGGCCACAAGCCUGAUCCAGCAAUUCUGUGUGCACGAUGAAGGUCUUCGGAUUGUAAAGUGCUUUCAGUUGGGAAGAAGAAAGUGACGGUACCAACAGAAGAAGCGACGGCUAAAUACGUGCCAGCAGCCGCGGUAAUACGUAUGUC
rnacentral:rRNA from 1 species